GUGUCAGCCGCCGCGGUAAUACGUAGGGGGCAAGCGUUGUCCGGAAUCAUUGGGCGUAAAGAGCGUGUAGGCGGCCUGAUAAGUCGGUUGUGAAAGUCAAGGGCUCAACCCUUGAAUGCCGACCGAUACUGUCAGGCUAGAGUCCGGAAGAGGCGAGUGGAAUUCCUGGUGUAGCGGUGAAAUGCGCAGAUAUCAGGAGGAACACCUAUGGCGAAGGCAGCUCGCUGGGACGGUACUGACGCUGAGACGCGAAAGCGUGGGGAGCGAACAGGAUUAGAUACCCCAGUAGUCC
rnacentral:rRNA from 1 species